rnacentral:rRNA from 1 species
GACGAACCGUGCGAACGUUAUUCGGAAUCACUGGGCUUAAAGCGCGUGUAGGCGGGACGGCACGUCGGCCGCUGAAAUCCCCCGGCUCAACCGGGGAACGGGCGCCGAUACGACCGGCCUGGAGGGACGUAGGGGGACCUGGAACUUCCGGUGGAGCGGUGAAAUGCGUUGAGAUCGGAAGGAACGCCCGUGGCGAAAGCGAGGUCCUGGACGUCUGCUGACGCUGAGACGCGAAAGCCAGGGGAGCGAACGGG